UGGCGUAGUGGCCAUGGGACCUAUUUUACCAUUGAAAUCAAAUAUCUUUAUAUUUAUUUUGCAUUUAUAUCCUUGUUGUCCCGAUUUUGUCAGAGUCAUAAAACCCAAAUUAAAAAUCCUUUAUCAACUCUUUACUUGCUUAUUAGUUCCCUCUUUUUCUUUAAUUAUUUAUUGAGGUCUAUUUUAGUAUAAUUUUAGUUUAAGAUUAGUUUUACAUUUAGUUUUUUUUUUGCCUUUUUAUCAUUGUGACAGAGAACCACUUUGAUAUCUUGUUGGGGGCACAAGAUAGUUUUAUUUGUUUUGUAAAUCGUUCUACUGGAUCUAGGAACAAGAAGUAGAACAUUCACACAUCUCCCGUACUGUUCGACAUUAAACCCCGAGUUACCUUUGUGGGGAAAACUUCUACUUCUAUAUCACUCUGCACGCUUGGAGUCCCAACAAUUGGUGCACAUCAGAUUGGUGCCAUCAGACCCGGUGGCGACUCCUCAGGGCAGCCGCUCUCCUCCUUACUCUGUGAGUACUAGUAGCUCGUUCGCUUUCUAGCUAGCUUCUGAUUCUUCGACCCUUCUUCGCAAAUUAUUUCAGUGCGCCCAGCCGCUGGACCAUGGACGCUCGGUCCAGCUUUGGGUGCAUGCUCUGUGCUCCACCAGAUCGACCACACAGAGGAAGACGACAACGACAGCGGCCGCAGCGGGCACCUAUGCAGGCAGCCGCACAAGAUCCGCAGGAUGGAGUACCUGGUGUGGAGAGCAGAGAGGGGAAAGAGAGAGGGAUCUCGGGUGGAAAUACAUGAGGAUUGGGGUUCCUUUCACAAGUUUCCUAGGCAUGUGGUGAAAGAUCGGUAUGGUCGACUAACAAAUUUUACUUUUUUUUUAAAGAUACAAACACUUAAUUUUAGGGUUUACUAAAUUCUCUAAAGUGAAUAGCACCCUAGUAUGAAGUGCAAUAGCCGAAGCAACAAUAUAGAUAGCAAGAAUGUAAAAGGGUGAAAAUGAUACCACACAAGAGACGAAGAUUUUCACUAGAGUUCCACCGAUUGGGGUAGGUGUACGUCUCGUUUGGAUGAGUGCUCUACCACAAAGGUAGAGGCGCCACAAAGGCUCACUCUAUUCUCCUCUCAUAACAGCACGAAGGUGAGGUGAGCUCCACUAGUGGCUUCCUUGGGGGCGAAGUCCAAACCCUUAAAAACUUGAACGGUGCUAGCUCAACAGCUCAAUUGGAGGUUCCCAAUCCAAUCCUCAAGCUCCUCACACCAAGGGAGAGCUCAAGAAAACCGCUUCCGUCUAGGGCUCCCAAAUGCACAAGAGAAACGAAAUUCACAAAUGAAACAAGGAGAACCAACUUUUUGACUUGGUGAAAUCCUAAAUCAAGAUCUUCUCCUCCAAUCCUCAAAGAAUCAAUAGUUGGAGUGGCUAGGGAGGGUGAUCCGAGAGAUUUAAACAUUUGAGUUCUCGGGGAGAGAAAUGGUGUUCUUGGCUGUUUUCUCAGGCAGGUUGGCUCGUUGGGGACGAAGGGGUAUAUAAAUGGGGUCCCCAAAAAUCGAGCCGUUAGGCAUAGACACGGACAGG
rnacentral:lncRNA from 1 species